GACGAACGCUGGCGGCGUGCUUAACACAUGCAAGUCGAACGGAAAGGCCCUGCUUGCAGGGUACUCGAGUGGCGAACGGGUGAGUAACACGUGGGUGAUCUGCCCUGCACUUCGGGAUAAGCCUGGGAAACUGGGUCUAAUACCGGAUAGGAGCCAUUUUUAGUGUGAUGGUUGGAAAGUUUUUUCGGUGUAGGAUGAGCUCGCGGCCUAUCAGCUUGUUGGUGGGGUAAUGGCCUACCAAGGCGGCGACGGGUAGCCGGCCUGAGAGGGUGGACGGCCAGAUUGGGACUGAGAUACGGCCCAGACUCCUACGGGAGGCAGAAGUGGGGAAUAUUGCACAAUGGGAGGAAGCCUGAUGCAGCGAAGCCGCGUGGGGGAUGACGGCCUUCGGGUUGUAAAAUCCUUUCGCUAGGGACGAAGCUUUUUGUGACGGUACCUAGAUAAGAAGCACCGGCUAACUACGUG
rnacentral:rRNA from 1 species